GAAAUGCGUAGAGAUCUGAAGGAAUACCGGUGGCGAAGGCGGCCCCCUGGACAGAUACUGACACUCAGAUGCGAAAGCGUGGGGAGCAAACAGGAUUAGAUACCCUGGUAGUCCACGCCGUAAACGAUGUCUACUUGGAGGUUGUGGCCUUGAGCCGUGGCUUUCGGAGCUAACGCGUUAAGUAGACCGCCUGGGGAGUACGGUCGCAAGAUUAAAACUCAAAUGAAUUGACGGGGGCCCGCACAAGCGGUGGAGCAUGUGGUUUAAUUCGAUGCAACGCGAAGAACCUUACCUACUCUUGACAUCCAGAGAACUUAGCAGAGAUGCUUUGGUGCCUUCGGGAACUCUGAGACAGGUGCUGCAUGGCUGUCGUCAGCUCGUGUUGUGAAAUGUUGGGUUAAGUCCCGCAACGAGCGCAACCCUCGUCACUAGUUACUAACGGUUCGGCCG
rnacentral:rRNA from 1 species